UUACUACCCUUUUUUGAAAAACCAUGUUAUACUAAGGAUGUUAGGUAAGACUAACUAUGGCGAUAAACGCGUUAUGGAAUAAGCGUUGCGGACCCGGGGGCGGUACCCGGCACCUCCACCAAAAACAAAGAGUUUACACGGACAAACAAUGUGAGUCAGUGUUUUUCAUGGGGGUGAAACAGGAUCGACGUGCGUAAUAAAGAUGAUGUUUUUGCUCGGCAUGAUACCACCGUUAUCGGAUCAAGACAUAUAAAUGUCGCACAUAAACUACAAAACAACAGACCUCAAGUAGCAGGUUCGCCUGCUGUUGCAUUGGCUGCUUAAUGCGCCAAAGCUCUCUUGAGCGAUGUUAGCGGUACGGGGGCACCGGGCAACAGAACGCCCCCACU
rnacentral:tmRNA from 1 species